rnacentral:rRNA from 1 species
UACGAAGGGGGCUAGCGUUGUUCGGAAUUACUGGGCGUAAAGCGUGCGCAGGCGGCUUCUCAAGUCAGUGGUGAAAGCCCGGAGCUCAACUCCGGAAUUGCCAUUGAAACUGUGGAGCUUGAGGACGAGAGAGGUGAGUGGAAUUCCCAGUGUAGAGGUGAAAUUCGUAGAUAUUGGGAAGAACACCGGUGGCGAAGGCGGUUCUCUGGGCCUUACCUGACGCUGAGGAGCGAAAGCGUGGGGAGCGAACAGG